AUUCGCUAGCGAGCGCGCUAGUUACACAACCGGCCAGACGAUCGAAUUAUGCUCUUUUACGUUUGUGAUUGAUAUGAUAUGUGAUAGAUCUACAGAAGAUAGAGAAGUGUUUCUGUACUCUAGUCUUAGUCUUAGCAGUUGACAUCGUUGUCUUCAAUCAUGGCACAAGACUCGAAUAUUUCACUGUCCCAGGCAUCUACAAUCUCCUGUCACAAUCUUCAAUACAUGGUAAAUGUUGGGCAGAGAUGCAAGAAAGCUCAGGAAAAGCUCAUCUUGAAAGGAGUCACAGGAGUCUUUGAAGCAGGUAUGAAUGCCAUCAUGGGACCUACUGGAAGCGGUAAAACAUCUUUACUAGACAUCCUGGCUGGCAGAAAAGAGAAGAGCGGAGUGAGAGGAGAAGUCUUGAUUAAUGGGAAUGACCUGCCAAGAAACUUCAAGUGCUGCUCUGGAUAUGUUCUUCAGGAUGAUGUCGUCAUGGGAACCUUGACGGUGAGAGAGAAUCUUGCUUUCUCUGCUGCCCUCCGUCUGCCCUCUACGGUAUCUCUGAAGGAGAAGAAAGAACGCGUGGAUGAAGUCAUUCAUGUGCUUGGUCUGGAUGACUGCAAGGAUACAAAGAUUGGGUCUAUGUUCAUACGUGGUGUUUCGGGAGGAGAGCGUAAACGAACCAACAUCGGUAUGGAGCUUGUUAUUGGACCAACUGUUCUGUUCCUUGAUGAACCUACAACUGGUCUGGAUGCUAACACUGCGUAUACUGUCAUGAAUCAGCUUGCCAUAUUAUCCAAGCAAGGGCGUGCUAUCAUCUUCUCCAUCCAUCAGCCAAGGUUUACCAUCUUUCGUCUCUUUGACACACUCCAUCUGUUGUCCAAAGGAGAGACAGUCUACCAUGGUCCGGCCCAAGAUUCCAUGGACUACUUCUCCUCUAUUGGUUUUGAGUGUGAAGCCCACAACAAUCCUCCUGAUUUCUUUCUCGACGUGAUUAUGAAGAAUGCUACUGCAGCGCCCUCUAUAGAACAAGAUCCUGAAAGCAAUUCAUCCAUCAAACUUGAAGAGGGCAGAAUUAGCACCGAGAUGAACAAUACCACAUCCACCGCAUCAACAAACCUUACACAGUCCUACAAGACGUCUCGUUUCCAUCGUGAAGUGGAAGAGAAAGCAGCAGAGAUUAUCAAGCUACAUGAUAACAACCCCGGGAUAGUCGGUCUACCAGACUAUGAUUAUGCAACAGGAUUCUUUACUCAGGUCACUGUGGUAGCCAAGAGAGCCGCUAUCAAUUAUAAAAGGAGUAUUCAAGUUUCAGUUGUACCGUUCGUCAUGUCCUCCUUCUUUGCGAUUGUGUUGGGCUUUGUGUAUUUCCAGGUGGACACCUCCUUUCCAUCCGGAACUCAAAACAGGACCGGGGCCUUCUUGUUCGCUAGUAUCUUCAUGGUCUUCAGCAAUAUGGGUGCGUUGGAGCUCUUCAUUGCUGAACGCAAAAUAUUCAUACAUGAGUCAGGCAGUGGUUUCUAUCGGACCUCAUCAUAUUUCUUCGCCAAGGUUUUGUGUGAUCUGAUUCCAAUGAGAGUCAUUCCAACCAUCGCUUUUGUUACUAUCUUUUACUGGAUGAUUGGAUUCCGUGCAGAAGUGGGGGCAUUCUUUAUCUUCUUAUUUACAUUGAUGCUCACUACAUUCUGUGGUACUGGACUGGUGUUUCUACUUUCCAUUAGGGUCGGCAUUGUUAGCGUAGCUACCAACUUUAUUACCGCUAUCAACAUCAUCAUGUUUGUAUUUGCAGGUGUUCUUGUCAAUACGUCUUCUAUUCUUGUGUGGCUGGAGUGGCUCAAAUACUUCAGCAUUAUCCGAUAUUCUGUCAAUGCUUUGAGUAUCAACGAAUUCAGAGGACUCACAUUCUGUAGAGGGAAUGGAACAGACAUUUGUAUUACUGGAGAGGAGUACUUGGCUGACCUGGAUAUAUCAUUCUCCAAUUGGGAUCUAUGGCAGAAUCACGUAGCUCUCUCAUGCAUCGUGAUUAUCCUCUUUACACUGUCGUAUGUAGCUCUACUUAAGGUACCAAAACACAAGUAGGUUGGGGUCAGAUCGUCAGAGGGUACCCAAAUAGAAGUAGGUCAGGGGUCAAGUUUUCCAAAGGUAUCAAAGCACAGGGUCAUGUCUCCAGAGGAUAUCAAAGUACAUGUAGGUUAUUAGGGGUCAAGUCUCCUUAAGGUACCAACUGUUUAAAGCAAAACCUUGAUAUAUCAUUGGGACCUGUGUGGCAGCUAGAACCUAGCCCUAUUGAGGGUAUCCAAGAACAUUUAGGACAGGGGCCAAGUCUCCUUAGAGUACCAAAUGUCCAAAGCGCAACCUUGAUAUCAUUUUCAUUGGGACCUGUGUGGCAGCUAGAAUCUAGUAUAGCUCUAUUGAGGGUACCAAAGUACAAGUAGGUCAGGGGUCAAGUCUUCUGAAGGUACCCAAGUGAUAGAAGGUCAGUGGUGAAAUUGUCUGAGGGUAUCCAUAUCCAACCUUGAUGUACCAUCCACUGUUAAGAAUCUGUGGCGGAACCAUUUAGGGCUCUCAUGCUUCAUAUUGCUCUACUGAAGGUACCAAAGUACAAAUAGGUCAGAGAUCGAGUUUUGUGUAUGUUUGUAUAAAAAAGUAGAACAUUGUUAUAACAGAUGGUUUGGUAUAAAAAAUGUUGCCUUUUAAUAUCAGGGCUAAGAAUCAGUGGAAUAGAAAGUAGGUAGGCUAGUCAAAUUUCUCUGUUAUAAUGGAAGCCUGUUAUUAUUCUUAUUAUUAAGUAUUUGGGGUCACCUGUGCCUGGGAGGGUAAAAGCAAACUGAAUCAAUGUGACCCUAGGGUCUUUCCUCCCUGCAUAACUGACCAGGGUUGUGUUGGUGGACCACUAAUCCAGGGUUUCUACUACUCUGUACUAUAACAUGUCAUCCCUCAUAAUGAUGUUUCAUUCACUGUGGGAUUUUAUGAUGAUAUUGCAAUACACAUUAACAGUUUUGUUUUGUGCUGCACCUAUGGUAAAUGUUAUAUUUUUGUUUUUAAUUAAUAUAUUAUGUUAGCUGCAAAGCAUAUUUGAAAUGUAUUAUAUUGUUUGUUUUGAAAGAUAACAAAUUAGUGAGAAAAGUGUGUCACUUUCUUAAAGGAUGGCCAUAUUAAUUUCAUUCCUCAGUACAACUGAUGAGAAAAUGACGUGCAAUUUGUAAAGGGUUAACAAAAGUACACAUUGACUUUUUUUUUUUUUUAUGUACAUUACUUUUGAAUUUGUAUUAUUGCAAACAUUUGAAGGAGAGCUGAAAUAUGCCUUGGGAUUUUACGUUAGAAAAAUGGCUGAAUCAUGUGCUUCUUUCUUCUUUGAAUUUAAGUUGUUUCCAAGGCUAGAAUUCUUGGAUAUAUUGUUUGCAAAUUUUGUGCAACUCAGAUUCAUUUAAGUUUUAUGCCACAGAAGAAUUUAAUUACAAGAUGAUGCAACACUGCCUUUUUGUGGUAUACAAAAAUUUCUUUCUUCAAAAAUUGCUGUCCUGUACAAUGUAUGAAAAGUAUCAUGUAUGUCUCAAAGGUUUUGGGUCUCUUACAUUACUGUUUUUGAUAUAUUUAAGUAUUCUACUGUGUAAAGGCUUAUUCAGAUAUAGCGUUGUAAACGGCCGCUAAACAAGCUGCCACAUACAGUUUUUGUAAUUGUAAAUGAAGGCAACUGCGUGCAGCAAAGGACUUGCGUGUAUUCACUGAGCUCUGUGUUAUUUGAUACAGAAAUUCGAAGCAUAGUACACUAUAU